CCUAAGAAAAAAUAACGGGGGAAGUGGUUUUCUGGAGGAAAACGUACAUGCAUGGUGUUACUGCUAGGUAGAAAAAUAUAUAGUAUGAAUUCAAAAUUUCCUAAGCCUAUACAAUCCGUUUCAAACAAUUUACAUUUUAAAAUGUCCAAAUAUAUUUUUUGGAAAAAAAUUCAAAAUAAAAAGUCUAUAUCACACGGUUCUAACAUUCUUCAUUCAGGUAAUAGCUCACAUCCACCUUGGUGUACGAGUGAAAAUAUUAAGAUCUGUUUAAAUAAACUAAAAUCUACGAAAGGCCCUGUAAUUUACGAAAGUGGAGAAAUUCUAAAAUAUGAUCCCAGCAUGAGGCCGGUGAUUAGAAAAGAAAUACCAUGCGAAAUUAUUAUUACCGCCGGAAAAAAAAUUAGAAGAAAAGAACUUGGCUGUUAUUACAGUUCUGGUCAUGUCCUGACUGCGUUUCAUGUUGUUGAAGGUUUAGAAAAUUUUGACAUACUCGUUGCUUUCCAUAAUGGAAAACGUACGCUGAUUUAUAAGGCUAAAUUUCCAAAAUCUUAUAACACUGACUCACACAGAGAUCAGACAUGUAUUAAAUUACUUGGUGACACUAACCCGCUUGGUGAUGGUUUACAAAAUCAAGUUGGUAAAGCCAAUAAAUCCAAAAGUGUAUAUUUUUACAUACAAACUCCUGACGGAAAGUUUAAGAAGCAGGAGGGUGAAAUCGUGCAGGACGGUAAUAUCGUUAAAGAAAGACGCUAUGAAUUUAGAAUAUCUGUAGCUGGUAAACAUGGAGACAGUGGCUCACUUGUUUAUAAAGCUGAGGGUGAACCGUUUGGCAUAUAUAGAGGCGUACGUAAGGACAAUGGAUAUGGUGUCUGUUCUAGAAUUUCUCCACAUUUUAAACCUGUUAACAUGUAACUGAUGUUACAGAUUUAUUUAAUAGUUCUAAAAAAAAUAAUAUUUUAUUUAUAUUUAAAAAAACUUAUUUUUUUAAAAACCUAACAAGAAACUGAUAUUACGGAAUUAUUUAAAAGGUUUAUAACAAUAUUUUAUUUAUAUAAAAAAGUCUUAAUUUUUUAAAAGAAUAUAAUUUUUUGUUAUCAUAGCAAACUGUCUCUCACUUUUAUUCUAAGCCUGAGUAGAGUGUACGUGUGUGACGUGCGUGUACAUGCAACACAUGAGUCGAACUGAGCCACUGGGGCCAAGCCUCUGGAUUUCCCGUUUCAUUUUUGUUUUCUGCAGACUGAGGAAUUAAAGCUCAUGUAAAAGCGCAACCCAAGUCCGCUGAGUUUCACCUGCUGGCAGCGAGCAUUUACCACACUGAUGACAAAAACCUGGAGAUCAGUACACACCGAAAACCACAUGUACAUGGAGCCAAAUCCCCUGGCACAGAUCGUCCAGCCUCAAGCCAUCUUCUAGGAUGCAAGAGAAGCAGCAUCAGGCUCUCACGGGUCUGCAGCAACAGCAACAGGAAAUCCUCUUUAAACAUCAUGGAGGAGCAAGCGGCAGACCAACCCACCAUCCAGAGCCUGAUGGCACUAUCCCCUCUAUAAACACUCUCACUGGCCAUUAUGGCACCCCACGGUGGUGUCGGGGUGAACCUGGAGAUGUUCGAGAGCAAAGCCUCAGCAUGAGUCUGGCUGAGAGUGAGGUCUGCACAUUCAAGCCCUCCUGAACAGAGACUUGGUUGUUUUCCAGUGGCUCGCAGUGACUCAUGUGUCGUGCACACACACACACACACACACAACAGCACAAAAAUAAAUAAAUAAAAUAAAAUAAAAUAAAUAAUUUAAAAAACAAACACACAAAACAUUUUUUUAUUAAUAUAAUUAUUAUUAUUAUCUAGUAGAAAGGCAUGUGGUGUACGAUCCUCUGAAAACCACUUCCUCCAUUUUAGUUGUUGGGUCCCCAGGCUGAGGUGCACAAAAUAAGGCCAAGCCUGAUUAUUGUGUACGUGUGUGACGUGUGUGUACGUGCAACACAUGAGUCGAACUGAACCAAUGGGGCCAAGAUUCUGGUUUUUCUGAGAUCAGCGCACACCAAAAAAUCCUCCCUAAACAUCAUGGAGGAGCAAGUGGCAGACCAUCCCACCAUCCAGAGCCUGGUGGCAAGAUCCCCUCUAUAAACUCUCUCAUUGGCCAGAAUGACACCGCAGGGUGAUGUCGAGGUGUACCUGGAGAUGUUCGAGAGUAAUGCCUCGGCAUGAGGCUGGCUGAGAGUGAGGGCUGCACAUUCAAGACCUCCUGAACAGAGACCUGGCUGUUUUCCAGUGGCUUGCAUUGGCUCAUGCGUCGUGCAUACACACACACACCACUCAUGCUCUCUUUCAUAAGAAAGAGAGAGGGGGACAGAACAGCUUAUAUAAUUAUAUAAAUAACAAUCAUUAUUAUUAUUAUUAUUAUUAUUAUUAUUAUUAUUAUUAUUAUCCAUCCAUCCAUCUUCUACCGCUUACUCCUUCUUCAGGGUUGCGGGGGAACCUGGAGCCUAUCCCAGGGAGCAUUGGGCACAAGGCGGGGUACACCCUGGACAGGGUGCCAAUUAUUAUUAUUAUUAUUAUUAUUAAGUGAGGAUGAAGAAGUUUGAUGAGCCAUGCCCUGGGUGUAUGUUCUAGCCUAACCUCUCCUCAAGGGUGACCCCCUGUGAAACGCAAAGUAUCUGGGUUGAAGACAAUCAUAGCUACAACCACUGAGAAAGGAAGUGAGGGACUUUUUUUUCUAUUUCUCCAUUUACAUGUAAUCAAUUGUGUGAUUAGAGACAGGGUGAUCACUGUCUGACUUAUCAUUGUAAUCAAGUUGAGAAAAUUAUUCUGUACUCAUGUUUAUUGCUCUAUAUUCAUAUCACCUAUAUGGGUUUAGUCAACUUUGUACUCUACAUAACCGUGACAACCACGGGCAAGUGCUGAACCAAAUGAACGCUCAUGCUUACGAUCAUUAUGCUUGAUUUUUAUGGAUAGGUACAGGGAGACAGAAUCUUUUACUCUUUCCUGGUCUAUGCUGGAAAGAGAUGUUUGUUUCUGGUCUCCACAAGAGAGUGGUUUCAGGAUUUGGUUGUUGGUAGAUGGCUGAUGUGAUGAUACAUUGAUCACUAGUUAGUGUUAAAGAAGGGACUGGAUUGUGAGAUUUCUCUCUUGAGAUAGGUGAGACUUAGUAUGUCCCAGAGGGGGGAAAUAUAUAGGAUAUAAAGUGUAAUCAAUGUGUUAACUAAAAUUUGGAAAUGUUAAUAAAGUAUAAUCUAAUAUGUAUAACCAACAUGUUAUUACUAUUUUGAAUUAAUUUUAUUACAGAAUUAUUUUUUAGAAGCAUAAUUUAAAUCCAUAGUGCACUUGUUAAUCAAGUUAUAUUCUAAGUGUGUAUUGAGUUAGAUGAAUUCUGAGUCUUACUGAACAGAAGGCCCAAUUGUUCUUCUGUGUCAGCCCGUACCUUUAUGUACAGCAGGCAUGAAAUCUAAAACUAUAAAACACUUUCUAACAAGUGACAUUCUAAAUGUGUAAAUUAGGAACCGUGUGUUUGUCUAAAGCAGCUUCACACUAUGGCAAUAAAAUAGCAAUUAGACACUCACCAGAACUGGGUUUCCAACCAAAGCCCUUUAAGCUUGCAAAUCAGCAUCAAAAGAAAAGAUAAGACUUCCAAGAGGAAGGGUACCAGGCUGAGGCUAUAGGGUGAAUCAUGGGACAAAGUAAAAACCCUGUUCUGGUAAAAGAUUUAAGAAAAUACAACUGAAAACGCAUGUGCCACAUAUGUACGCACACACAGACACACACACACACAUACACACACACACACACACACACACACACACACACACAUAGAGAGAGAGAGAACACUCAGGCUCAGUUUACUAAUAGAGAGGGGGACAGACAGCUUAUUAAAAGUGUAGUUCUUUAUUUACAUUUGACCAUUUCUAAACUUGAAGGCCUAAUGGAUUGUCAAUGAGUAAAAAAAAAGGCUCGAUGCCUGGAAAACAAAACAAAAAAGUCUUAAAAUACAUAAUUUUAAAGACAAAAAAAUGUUAGAAAAUAGACGUAAAUAGGAGGUAAAAAAAAUUUAAUAAAAAUGACUAGACUCGUGAGUUUGUAAGAAUCAGUUUAGUAAAUUGCUAAAGUUAGCCUUGUUUUUAUAUGUAUCUUGUCUAUAACUUUGGUGGUAAAGGGUGAGGUUAUCUAAAGUAUUGCUAGUUAGUGUACAUUACAUAGAAACUGAGUAAAAUCAAUGUUUAUUGCUAUAAGGAGUCAAGAGACAAGUGACACAAUGAGCCACAUAGUAUACAUAUUAGAAAAAUAUAGCUGAUGUUAGCCAAGCUUACCAUGUGCCUUAUUUUUAUUUUCCAUGAUGUUAGCUAUACAUAUUCGUAGUAGCUUAUACUACAUGCUUAAAACACGGCAAAUAACGUCAGGAGGCCGUAUUAAAUAUUUUCUCACAGUCGUGUGCUUCACCUCAGCUUUGUGUAUUUGUGUUUGAGCCAGUGUUACAUGGUUGUUAAGCCUUCACGCUCCAGUGUCAAAAUUCAACCAAACAAUGAUUUCUAAUGUUGUGUUACCUACACAAACCAUGUGUGUAUAUAAUAUAAAAUAACAGCGCCAUUCAUAGAUGUAGAAAAAACAGCAGUUUGUAUAGUGUAUAUUGUGCAACUGUGAUUUUAUAUUGGAUUACUGCAAAUAUCUGUCAUUAACUACUACUACUACUACUAAUAAUAAUAAUGGUAAUAAUCCUCCUGUACUCACACUGCAUUUCUCUCAUUUUUCAGGUUUUCUGGAGGCGCACGUACAUGUCACUGCUGUAUAUUAACAUUUUUUUUGAAGUUUUAUAUUUUUCCUAAGCCUAUACAAUCCUUUUUAAAUUUUUUCAUUUGAAAAUGUCCAAAAAUUUUUUUAAGUGUGUUUAAAAGUUGAAGUCUAUAUCACACGGUUCUAACGUUCUUCAUUCGGAUAAUAGCUCAUAUCCGCCUUGGCUUACGAGGGAAAUUAUUGAGAAUACACACACAUACACACACACACACACAUAUAUACACACACACACGCAUAUAUACACACACACGCAUACACACACACACACACACACACACACACACACACACACACACACACACACACACACACACACACCAGGGCUCUAUGGUAACAAUUACAAAAAUUUAGGAGCACGGUUGAAGUUUAGUUUUUUUUUUUGUUUUGUUUUUUUAGAGAUGGUAACAUUAAUGUGCCACAAUAUAACACACAAGUGGCAUGAGAAAACUUGAGCUGGACAAUUAUGACAGAAUUUGGAACAUAGUGUGAGCCAUGACACAUUAAUUUACCUUCUGAUAAACUAAUUUUAAUAUUUUCAGUUAAUUUUACAGACUGUAAAAUUUCACUUUCAUUGCCAGCGGUUUAGACAUUUAUGGCUGUGUGUUGAGUUAUUUUGAGGGGACAGCAAAUUUACACUGUUACACAAGCUGUACACUCACUACUUUACAUUGUAGCAAAGUGUCAUUUCUUCAGUGUUGUCACAUGAAAAGAUAUAAUCAAAUAUUUACAAAAAUGUGAGGGGUGUACUCACUUUUGUGAGAUACUGUAUAUAAAGCUACACUAUUAGACAUUUUCCACUGUCAUGGUUCUGGUCUGGAGUCAGUUCUUGAACCGCUCUGUGUAUAUUGUGUAGAUAUCUGAAUAAUCUCAUAUAGGAUGUGAUUGGGUGAGUUCAUUUACCCGUCAGAUGCAAAGUGCUUUAGUUUAAUGGUGUUCAUUACUGAUGCACCGAUUAGGAUUUUUACGACCAAAACCGAUCCAGAUACCAAUCUUUUUUUGUUUAAACUUUAAUCAGGAAGUCUAUCAUAAACAGCUAAAUGUAAGCUCUCCGCUCAUGGUCACUGUUAAUUGAGUUCAAAUAAUAGCAAUGAGAAAUACUGUUGGUUAAUUGAAAACUAAACAAGCAUAAAAUAUUUAUUUUUAAAUAUUUUGAACAAUAAAGAGUCCUAAUUACUAGUAGACUAACACAAACAUGACCCAUAUUAGGAAAAUGGCUAAUAGCAUUCGAAGGAAAUAGCAAACUAAACUUAAUGUCAAAAUGAUAUUAAAUGCAACCCAUAGUAAUUAAACAUUAUUUAAUUUCUCAUUUUAUUUCUAUUAUAUUUCUAUUAUAAGUUAUUAUAAUAUCUAUUUUUUUAUAUUAAAUGAUUUAUUUAUAACUAAGCACAUUUUCUGUCUUUACAUUUUAUUAGUUUUAUUUUUGUUUGUUUAUCAGUUUUAGAUUGGUUCCCCCAGUACGGUGUACAUCUCUGCUGAUAAUAUUAUGUUUUUGGGGGGGUUUAAAUCAAAACAUGGAAACUGGAGUUGACUUUUCUAGUAAUAUCUGGCAACCGUGAGUUUAAAUGAAGUGAAUUAGAGUCCAUGAAGGAGAGCAGCAGUGUACUGUAUGUUUACAGACUGAACAGUUGCUACUCUUGAUUAGAAUUGGUGAGGAAUUAUUUAAUAAAUAAGUUUGAAUUAAAUCCACCUUAUUGCGUUAACAUUAUUAUUAAUUUAACGCUGUGUCUACACGAGCAGGUGCAAGUUCAGGUCAUUUUGUGUGAUCAAUAAAAGAUGGCGGUUUGUGAGAUUGGGAAGUCGAAGCAGAUGAUGUCAGUGUUACUCUUUAUCAUAAUGGCUUUUCUGCAGUAUUUACACACUUGUUUGGUUGACUGAGGUGAUGAAAAGCAGUGUGAAAGUAAUUGUUGCUCGGUGUAGAUGCAUUUUGCAGUUUUUAUUCCGAUUGCAUUACACAACUCCGAACAGGUCACUCGCACCGGUGCGAAUAAUUAUUUAUUCACUUGGCACUGUAGAGCCCUGCUGAUCACUGCUGAACCAGAUAUAUUUUGUUCAGAGCAGGGCCGUAACCACCACAGACACUGAAGGGGAUAUGUCCCACCCAAUAAUCAGAUAUGGAUAAUAAGAUGAAAGGCCUGCCUGGGGGUAGAGAGUGAGUAAACAUGAAAUAUAACAAACCAUCUAAUCUAACUUGUUUUUGUAUUCUUAUACUCACUGACCUUAUUGUAGUUAUUUUGUUCCCAAGUACAAAGGUCUUGCAUUGUAUAUAUAAAUAAUGUCUAUAUAAAUAUUUGGGCCUUUAUUACAUAGAGAACUAAAAAGGACCAUUACAUUUGUGACCCCACCCCUACCAAAUGGUUUGGUCAUCCCAAAUGUUCAGGGUGUGGUUAUGGCCUUGGUUCAGAACUGGCAACUUUCCAUUCAGUAACUUAAUGCCUUAACCACAGAGCUUUGCUUGUAAGUAUAGCCAGAAGUUUUUUAAACGCCCUACCUGAUAGAUCUUACUAAACAUCCAUGGACUAUGCUUUGGAUCUUCUGACCAUCUCUCUAGAAACUCUCCUUCCAGGACAUCCUUUCCUCAAGCCAAGCUUGACCACUAUGCUCUUGCGUCAAUAAGUUUGGUUGGCCUCCUUUGAUGCUGUUGUUCUCCUGAGCCACCUCAACUAUGCAAUAUGCAUAGUUCCACAAGGGUGUUCAUAGUUUUCCACAUUCUGACCGUUGCUUGCAUUGAGGAGAAAUGUUUGCCUAGACAACACGUACCUUGUAGAAAUUCAAUUUUGGCUUCUUGCUCUUCAGAAUUGCAACACCACCACCUUCUUUUACCAGGAUGUGCUGUCCUUGCCUAAACUCGCAACUCUUAUCAGAUACUACUCUGUACAUUGGUUUUAUUUAUACAGAAGUUGUUACUUUGCUUCCUGCUGAAUUCAAUCCCUUGCCUCUUGAAUCUUGUGGGAGCUGCUCUUUCAUUAUCGCUGCCCUUGUAGGCAUGACAGGCUGAGUAGAUAUCUAAUAAUCAUGAGUAGAUCAUUCUAAUAACGAUCAAGCCGAAUAAAUAAUGUGCAAGUUUGAAUGAGCACUAUAAGGUGACCUGCCAAAUUGGUGUGGUUUUCAGUGCAUUAUGUGUUAUUGAUGCUACUGAUAAUUAUGAUGCUGAUUAAUUAAUUAACAAAUGAUACAAUUCUCUCUCUCUGUUUUAGAGCAAUGGGUGAAAACAGAACCUCUUGUACCUCCAUCCCAGACUAUCCCACCACAGACUUUGAUUAUGACAACUGCACAGGCAACUAUUCAAACUAUUCGGAUUUUGGCAUUGAGAUGUGUGAUCCAGAUAAAAGGCAAGAGUUGACCAUCAUGGCUGUCCAGAGCACGGUCUUCCUCAUCACCUUCUUCCUUGGUUCCUUGGAACCGUUUAGGUGACACCAGAUAGUGGGAUUAUAAAUCAUUACAGUAGACAGUUUUUUAUUGAAGACACACAGUACUAAGUAAGAACAGUAGAGGGCAUAACUGCACCAAUUGCACCAAAAAUAAUGUCACCUAUGCUAUGUAUUUUACACGGGAAAUCUGUCAACCCCAUCAACACAGAUUUCUCAUCAACAUAACCUAUUAAACCUCAGUAAACCUAUUCAAAUAUUAGGCUUAAAUGUGUACAAUGAUAUCUUGGCUAUUUAUUGGAGACAAACAGCAGUUUAUUCUUGAAAUUUCCACUGACAGAAUACAUUAGGUCCAAUUUGACACUAUUGAUAGAUCAAAUAUUUAUAUAUUGAAAUCUGGGGAAAACCCCAAAAACAUAAAUACGUAUUAAAAACAUAAAUACGUAUUAGUUUCACAUUUAAGAAGGUAAUCUAUUUUAAUGCAUUACUAAUUUAGAUAUAAUUGUAGUCAUAUUUUGGUUGGAGGACACAUAGGCCCAAACCUUGUUUCUUCUACUAAUAAAAACAAAACUGAAAAAAGUCACAGUUUGGUGAUUAUUUCAGAGAAGGAAGAUUCAUAAAAAUGGAUCCAUAUCAAAUGCGAAGAAAUUCCCAUCCAUCCAUUAAUCCAGCUUCCAUACCACUUAUCCUAUACAGGGUUGCAGGGAAGCCUGGAGCCUAC